CACGUAGGGGGCAAGCGUUGUCCGGAUUUAUUGGGCGUAAAGAGCUCGUAGGCGGUUCGGUAAGUCGGGUGUGAAACCUCCAGGCUCAACCUGGAGACGCCACCCGAUACUGCUGUGACUAGAGUCCGGUAGGGGAGCGUGGAAUUCCUGGUGUAGCGGUGAAAUGCGCAGAUAUCAGGAGGAACACCAGCGGCGAAGGCGGCGCUCUGGGCCGGAACUGACGCUGAGGAGCGAAAGCGUGGGGAGCAAACGGG
rnacentral:rRNA from 1 species